AAUGAACGCUGGCGGCGCGCCUAAUACAUGCAAGUCGAGCGAGAAGACGUAGCAAUACGUUUGUAAAGCGGCGAACGGGUGAGGAAUACAUGGGUAACCUACCCUCGAGUGGGGAAUAACUAGCCGAAAGGUUAGCUAAUACCGCGUACGCUCCUUGGACUUCGGUUCAGGGAGGAAAGCGAUACCGUGGGUAUCGCGCUCCUGGAUGGGCUCAUGUCCUAUCAGCUUGUUGGGAGGUAACGGCUCACCAAGGCUUCGACGGGUAGCUGGUCUGAGAGGACGAUCAGCCACACUGGCACUGCGACACGGGCCAGACUCCUACGGGAGGCAGCAGUAAGGAAUAUUGCGCAAUGGGCGAAAGCCUGACGCAGCGACGCCGCGUGGGGGAGUGAAGGUCUUCGG
rnacentral:rRNA from 1 species